UCUGCUUUAAACUCGUGUAGAUCGUAUACAGGAAAGUUAGAAUUAUUCAUAAUCGAUGUUUGUGUCCUACUAGGAGCGAAGGAGUAGCUCAUCGAAAUAUUCAAAAAAAAAAGCGCAGGCACAUCAGUAUUGCGUGCGGAGAUAGUGGGACAAAGGAAACAUUCACGGUGUCCUUCAGGAAGCGCAGCCUCUGCUUACUGUAUCCCUUUUAACGGGGUUCCAUCGACCGCAGGCAACUUGAAUAGAGGCACCCUUGCAAGAGUCGAAAAGCGCUAUUCUCGCCAAAGCCUUGGAGAGGCCCUGUCUUUCACAGUCUGCGGUUUCCCUCCUCGGAUCGAUGACCGCCAUCGGUCCUUGGGCCCCCGCACGGCCCCACUGCACUCAAACGUCCAUGUCCCGGAGGCUCAUGACGCUUGCAGCCCGGCCUGUGGCGAUGGCUUGCUUGGCCGGGUCCUCGGAGCGCAGUAGGGUCUCCCAAGCCUCCCAACACCGAGAAGAAGGAGCGACCCUUCCACGCCUCGCCUCUGGUGUGGUGACCCUUGGACAGGCCGCCCCUGCGCGACCGGGCGUCCAGGCUGUAGAAAGGCUCGGUGCUGUUGUCGCCGCCGCGGAACCAGCGCACCAGCACU